rnacentral:rRNA from 1 species
AAUGAACGCUGGCGGCGUGCUUAACACAUGCAAGUCGAACGAGGCUGGGGGGGCAACUCCUCAGUCGAGUGGCGGACGGGUGAGUAACACGUGGGUAACCUGCCCGGAAGUGGGGAAUACCUCGGGGAAACUCGAGCUAAUACCGCAUGACAUCUUCGGGACGAAAGUCCUGGCGAUCAAAGCGGGGUCGCAAGAUCUCGCGCUACCGGAUGGGCCCGCGCCCGAUUAGCUAGUUGGCGAGGUAACGGCUCACCAAGGCUUCGAUCGGUAACCGGCCUGAGAGGGCGAUCGGUCACACCGGAACUGAGACACGGUCCGGACUCCUACGGGAGGCAGCAGUGGGGAAUCUUGCGCAAUGGGCGAAAGCCUGACGCAGCAACGCCGCGUGGAGGAUGAAGGCCCUUGGGUUGUAAACUCCUGUCGGUUGGGAAGAAAUCUUGCGGGGCUCAUACCUCCGCAAGUUGACUGUACCAGCAAAGGAAGCCCCGGCUAACUCUGUGCCAGCAGCCGCGGUAAUACAGAGGGGGCCAGCGUUAUUCGGAAUUAUUGGGCGUAAAGGGCGCGUAGGCGGCCUUGCGUGUCUUCCGUGAAAUCCCUCGGCUUAACUGAGGACGUGCGGGAGAAACUGCAGGGCUGGAGUCCGGGAGAGGGGGGUGGAAUUCCCAGUGUAGCGGUGAAAUGCGUAGAUAUUGGGAGGAACACCGGUGGCGAAGGCGGCCCCCUGGACCGGUACUGACGCUGAGGCGCGAAAGCGUGGGUAGCAAACGGGAUUAGAUACCCCGGUAGUCCACGCCGUAAACGAUGGGCACUUGGUGUCGCGGGUAUCGACCCCUGCGGUGCCGAAGCUAACGCAUUAAGUGCCCCGCCUGGGGAGUACGGUCGCAAGGCUG